rnacentral:rRNA from 1 species
UACGGGGGGUGCAAACGUUGCUCGGAAUUAUUGGGCGUAAGGCGCACGUGGGCGGUCCCUUAAGUCGGGUGUGAAAGCCCUCGGCUUAACCGAGGAAGUGCAUUCGAAACUGGGGGACUUGAGUACUGGAGAGGAUGGCGGAAUUCCCGGUGUAGAGGUGAAAUUCGUAGAUAUCGGGAGGAACACCAGCGGCGAAGGCGGCCAUCUGGACAGAUACUGACGCUGAGGUGCGAAAGCGUGGGGAGCAAACAGG